CACUUGAAGAGAACUACAUCUCCCAUGAUGCUCUUCUUUCGCGCGCAAGCUGAGAUGCGACGUCGUUCCCAUGGCAACACGGAAGCCCGCGCCACGGGGCCCACCUCGGGAAUUGCUGUCUGCCACGUUCUUGGCUGGCCCCCUCACGGAGCCCACGGUCCUGGCGUGAUCGAACCACUAUGCCCAGUGAAACUCUCUGGGAAAUUGCAAAAGCUGAAGUGGAAAAAAAGAGAAGUAAUGGAAGUGAAGGUGAUGGAGUGGAAAUUGGAGAAAAAUCUGUUUUCUUCAUUGGCAGUAAAAAUGGGGUAAUGCAUCUCUUCUUAACUCUUUUUACCCACAUCUACUGUAAUGAUUUAAGAAGCAGUGGUAAGAUUUAAUACUUUGCUAAAAAUUUAGAUACUCC
rnacentral:lncRNA from 1 species